CUUUUCUAGGGUUUGGUGGCUAUGCCCAUAGCUGACUUGAGUUCACUUUGAAGAGAAUGAUUCUCACGAAGCAGUUUCGCUGCAUACACUCAGCUAGCUGUCAAUGCACAAAAGGACAUUUAAGUGAAAAUGUCUUAUUUUUAGUGUUUCAACAUUUGAAUUGGAAUCCCAAGCUAAU